UACGAAGGGGGCUAGCGUUGUUCGGAAUUACUGGGCGUAAAGCGCACGUAGGCGGACUACUAAGUCAGGGGUGAAAUCCCGGGGCUCAACCCCGGAACUGCCUUUGAUACUGGCGAUCUUUGAGUCCGGGAGAGGUGAGUGGAACUCCGAGUGUAGAGGUGAAAUUCGUAGAUAUUCGGAAGAACACCAGUGGCGAAGGCGGCUCACUGGCCCGGUACUGACGCUCAUGUGCGAAAGCGUGGGGAGCAAACAGG
rnacentral:rRNA from 1 species